AAUCUUCCGCAAUGGACGAAAGUCUGACGGAGCAACGCCUCGUGAGUGAUGAAGGCUUUCGGAUCGUAAAACGCUGUUGUGAGGGAAGAACAAGUAUCGGAGUCACUGCCGGUACCUUGACGGCAACUGACGAGAUAGCCACGGCUACCAAGGUGCCAUCAGCCGCGGUAAGACGUAGGUGGCAAGCGUUGUCCGGAUUUAUUGGGGGUAAAGCGCGCGCAGGCGGUCUUUUAAGUCUGAUGUGAAAUCUUACAGCUUAACUGUAAGCGGUCAUUGGAAACGGGGAGACUUGAGUGCAGAAGAGGAGAGUGGAAUUCCAUGUGUAGCGGUGAAAUGCGUAGAGAUAUGGAGGAACACCAGUGGCGAAGGCGACUCUCUGGUCUGUAACUGACGCUGAGGCGCGAAAGCGUGGGGAUCAAAC
rnacentral:rRNA from 1 species